UACGUAGGGGGCAAGCGUUGUCCGGAUUUAUUGGGCGUAAAGCGCGUGUAGGCGGCCAGGUAGGUCCGCUGUGAAAACCCGAGGCUCAACCUCGGGACGUCGGCGGAAACCAUCUGGCUAGAGUCCGGAAGAGGUGAGUGGAAUUUCCGGUGUAGCGGCGAAAUGCGUAGAUAUCGGAAGGAACACCUGUGGCGAAAGCGGCUCACUGGACCAUAACUGACGCUGAGGCGCGAAAGCUAGGGGAGCAAACAGG
rnacentral:rRNA from 1 species